rnacentral:rRNA from 1 species
GCUGGGGGAUAACCUCGCGAAAGUGAGAACAAUACCCCAUGGGUCACUAUGCCUGGAACGGUUAGUGGCUGAAAGCUCCGGCGGCACAGGAUGGGUCUGCGGCGUAUCAGGUCGUAGGGGGUGUAACGUACCUCCUAGCCUUCGACGCGUACGGGUUGUGAGAGCAAUUGCCCGGAGAUGGAUUCUGAGACACGAAUCCAGGCCCUACGGGGCGCAGCAGGCGCGAAAACUUGACAAUGCGAGAAAUCGUGAUCAGGGGACUCCAGUUGGCUGGAUCAAAAGUCCAGUCUGAACCGACUUUAAAUCGGUCGGGUAAUAGGGGCGGGAAAGACCGGUGCCAGCCGCCGCGGUAAUACCGGCGCCCCAAGUGGUCGUCACUAUUAUUGGGCCUAGAACGUCCGUAGCCGGUUUGGUAAAUCCGUGGGUAAAUCAGACAGCCCAACUGUCUGAAUUCUGCGGGGACUGCCAGACUUGAGACCGGGAGAGGUGCGGGGUACUUGCGGGGUACCGGUAAAAUGGGAUCAUCCCGUAGAGACCACCUGUUGCGAAGGCGCCGCACUAGAACGGAUCUGACGGUCAGGGACGAAGCCUAGGGGCACGAACCGGAUUAGAUACCCGGGUAGUCCUAGGUGUAAACGCUGUGGACUUGGUGUCGGGGACCUUCUGAGGGUUUCCGGUGCCGGAGUGAAGAUGUUAAGUCCACUGCCUGGGGAGUACGGUCGCAAGGCUGAAACUUAAAGGAAUUGGCGGGGGAGCACCGCAACGAGAGGAGCGUGCGGUUUAAU